AUCUUUUCUUUUGCAAACUGUCAUCUUAAACAUUAUCAAAAUUCUUUCAUUUAAUCAUGUUCUUGUUUAUUUUAAGACAGAGGUAUGUAUUACCAGUAUUGUUCAGAAAUCAAAAUGUUUUACUUAGCCAGUGUUGGAUUCUGAGCAGUGUAUUUUUUCAUGAAGCUGUAAAAGUUGCAAAUAAAACUUUCAGUUCAUAUUAUUCACAAUUUAGCUG